rnacentral:rRNA from 1 species
UACGUAGGGCGCAAGCGUUGUCCGGAAUUAUUGGGCGUAAAGAGCUCGUAGGCGGUUUGUCGCGUCUGCUGUGAAAACCUAAGGCUCAACCUUGGGCUUGCAGUGGGUACGGGCAGACUAGAGUGCGGUAGGGGUGACUGGAAUUCCUGGUGUAGCGGUGAAAUGCGCAGAUAUCAGGAGGAACACCGGUGGCGAAGGCGGAUCUCUGGGCCUUGCCUGACGCUGAGGCGCGAAAGCUAGGGGAGCGAACAGG